rnacentral:ribozyme from 1 species
UAUCCGUCAUUUCGUUGGGUGUAUGUUGGGUGCUCUACUUUUCUUCGGGAAUGUUGGACAAUUCUUGGACAAUUGCAACGAAGAAUCAGUUGGCGUUUGAUGUAGCAAUCCCGAAGAG